GACGAACGCUGGCGGCGUGCUUAACACAUGCAAGUCGGGCGGCGGGGUAACCCGUCCCCGGCGAACGGGUGCGGAACACGUGAGCGACCUGCCCGGGUGUGGGGGAUAGCCGGCCCAACGGCCGGGUAAUACCGCAUACGCCGCCCCCUUGGAAGCGGGAGACGAACCUCGCAAGAGGCGCUAGGAGGGGCUCGCGGCCUAUCAGCGAGUUGGUGCGGUAACGGGGCACCAAGGCGAUGGCGGGUAGCUGGUCUGAGAGGCUGGCCAGGCACAGAGGGACGGACAGGAGGCCCACGGUCGGACGGGGGGGGGAAGUGGGGAAUAUUGGGCAAUGGGUGAAAGAGUGACGCAGCGUGGCCGCGUGGAGGAUGAGGCUCGUCGGGGUGUAAUCUCCGGUUGGAAGGGACGAAUGCCCAGCAUCGGCGGGGUUGACGGUACCGGGUGAGGAAGCACCGGCUAACUCCGUG
rnacentral:rRNA from 1 species